ensembl:lncRNA
GUUUUAAGCUGCUGAAUUUUGGGUAUUUUGUUCUGUAACAACAGAAAACUAUUCUAAGUACGGACUAAAGUUCCUUCCUCCCAAGCUAACCUGAGGAUCUUCACAGAAAUCUACCCCCACUCCAGAGCUUUGCAUACCACAAGGAUCUGGGAGAGACAUCAAGUCCCAAAAUGAUUUCCAUGUUUUUCUGCUGAAUGUCUUUUAGUUUUAGAGUUAUAUAAGCAAGAGGGAUCAUUCUAGAAGAGAUUUUUCUUUAAUAAGUUUCUUUGUCAAAAGAACUUGCUGACUUCACCCACGUGGAGAAGAAAUGCUGAGUUGCUGGCUUUUAAACAAACAAACAAACAAACUAAGUUCUGCCUCACACGGCUAGGAGUGAGAGAAUUCUUACUGGAUAAUAGAAAUUUCUUCAUUGAACUAGCAAAGAAACAGCUGCUGUUCCCAUCCACCACCCGCCCCUCUCUCAGAGGAUACUUGUUGUCACAUGCUGGUAUUCUCAUGCCACGGAGUAAAUUUCAGGAGAACUGGGCAGAAGAGAGGACCAAGUGCUAGGUGUGGCAAUGUGGCAAAUUUCAGGCCACUGAACUAAGAGUAGAAAUGAUACAGGCAAAAUCAUGAAUCAUCCAGGAGUCCACAUGUUCUAGAUGACCAUCUUCUUCCCCUUCCUGGAAUACAGACCUUGCUGCAUCCCAGCUUCUACCAUAUAGAUGAAGACAAGGCAGAGGCAGGCACCCCUCUUUCAAGAUGUCUGCCCUCCAGAAUGCUGAAACAAGUGAUCUUUCCUAUGACCUCUCAAUAGAUGUUGCAACACAUUUUAGAGAAACAACAGACAAGGGUCUCAAGUAACUGUGUCUUGGGUCCUGCUCCACCUCUGGAGAUUUAUGAGCGCUCCAGAGUUUUUCAGCAGUGAAGGAAAUAGAGACCGACAAUGUGGAACCUUUUGUUUCUGAAAGGAGCCUGAAAUCAAUAUGCCUUGGGCCCAUGAAAGGCAUAGUGCAGGCCUGACUAGUGGGUCUGUUGGUAAGAACAGAAGUGUUCUCUUCUCAAGACAGCGGUGGGUCCCUGAAGCCAUGGAUAAUAACAGACCCUAUACAUAAAGCCAGAAAAGCCCAAGGUCAAAUUUUCAGCCUCUGGACUGGGGACACCUGCCAUUUGCGAGCAGCAUCCUGCCCUUGUGGACCUCAGAAAGGUUUCCCUGCUGGCUCCAGAUGUGGGCUCUUGACACCUGUCUGACUCUGAUGCAUUUGGAAACAGCACUUUCUGGUGGCAGUGACCACUAGCAACCCUGAUUUAGACAUGGUAAAAAGAGCACAAUGAUGACGAACCUGACUAUUUUUCAAAGCACAAGUCCAGACAGUCUGAAAUAAGAUUUCCUCCCCUAUUUGUAUGUAUUUAAAUUUUAAAUAUUUACAUUUGUAUACAUUUUAAUAUUUUG